UUCUAUUUUGUGGGUAAUGGCCCUGGGAUUGGGCAGCAGAAAGGGCCCAUUUGAGCGCUGACUCAGAAAUCUGAGCUCCAUUCAAGUGAAAGAAUGAGCAACAUUCCAAAUUAUAAGAAAACACAAAUUUGACAACCCAGAAACAACUCCUUACCAAGAAUGCUUUCAAAUUGUUGGAGUUUGUUUUUUUUUUUUUUUUAAUUAAAACCUCAGAGUAGGGCUGUUUCUAUGGCAUGUGCAAUCCACUUUGCUCUUAUAGAUACUACCUAGAAAAAGUAGAUCAAAAAGAGGUGUAUUCUGGGUGGUGGUUGGGAGGGCGGGCGCAAUAGGACUCAAUAAGGGGAGGAGUAACCUUAAGAAGGAAAACCUUAAAGGCUCAAAAAGUAAAAGAGAACUUCACCAAUAUCAAGUUUGAGGAAUGAUUACUUGCAUAUCGAUAAUCUAGAACUUUCAAAGAAUAAAUAAUCAGCUCAAAGAAGCGUGGGUCUGCAUGUCUUCUUUUGGCUUUGCUUAGUUGUAUGUCUAUAUUUAUGAUAUGUGUGCAUGAUUUCUAGCAUUCUUUAAAGUUUCCUAGUAACACACAGUGGUUUCUAGAAAAGCAGCUGGGGCAGACGGGUGACUGUACUAUUAAGAACAAUUCAUCAGGCAGCAGUUGGAAUAUUGAUAAGAAAACGGAAAUCAAAUUACAAGAAGGGGAAAGAGAAAGGAAGAGGGAGUGGGACCCAGAGAGCUGGCGGGAGGCAGCGAAGGCGAAAGCUGCAGUGUACGCAUAGCUCCUGCAUAGCGGCUCCUGCAGCCCCCCAGGAUGCGCCGGAGCUGAGGCUGCUUAUCUGCAGGUCCUGGAGAGAGGCAAACUUUGACUCCAGGCAGGCAGCAGGUAUAACUCCUCACUGCCAAGUUUCUGGGAGCUCUGGGCACACAGGACAGGCACCGAGAACUAAUACAUCCUGGAGCUACCCGGAGUUCCGCUCCUGCGGGCUUAGCAGGAAAGGGCGCCUAAGGCCACCAUCCCACCGUCUCCCCCUCGUUCCACUCGCGGGUAACCGAGGCUUCUCCCUCCCAGGCUGGUUCUUGGGCGUUCCCGA
rnacentral:lncRNA from 1 species